rnacentral:rRNA from 1 species
AUUGAACGCUGGCGGCAUGCUUUACACAUGCAAGUCGAACGGCAGCACGAAAGAGCUUGCUCUUUUGGUGGCGAGUGGCGAACGGGUGAGUAAUGCAUCGGAACGUACCGAGUAAUGGGGGAUAACUGUCCGAAAGGAUAGCUAAUACCGCAUACGCUUUGAGAAGGAAAGUGGGGGCUCUUCGGACCUCACGUUAUUCGAGCGGCCGAUGUCUGAUUAGCUAGUUGGUAGGGUAAAGGCCUACCAAGGCGACGAUCAGUAGCGGGUCUGAGAGGAUGAUCCGCCACACUGGGACUGAGACACGGCCCAGACUCCUACGGGAGGCAGCAGUGGGGAAUUUUGGACAAUGGGCGCAAGCCUGAUCCAGCCAUGCCGCGUGUCUGAAGAAGGCCUUCGGGUUGUAAAGGACUUUUGUUAGGGAAGAAAAGGAUAGUGUUAAUACCAUUAUCUGCUGACGGUACCUAAAGAAUAAGCACCGGCUAACUACGUG